AAAAAGGUGAUAGAGUGGUUAUAUGAUUGGCUUGAAACUGAUUAAUGUAGGUUCAAAUCCUACCCUUUUUG
rnacentral:tRNA from 1 species